UACGGGGGGGGGUCAAGCGUUGUUCGGAAUUACUGGGCGUAAAGGGCGCGUAGGCGGCCUGCUAAGUCACACGUGAAAUCCCUCGGCUCAACCGGGGAACUGCGUGUGAUACUGGCGGGCUUGAAUUCGGGAGAGGGAUGUGGAAUUCCAGGUGUAGCGGUGAAAUGCGUAGAUAUCUGGAGGAACACCGGUGGCGAAGGCGGCAUCCUGGGACCGAGAUUGACGCUGAGGAGCGAAAGCCAGGGGAGCAAAGCGGG
rnacentral:rRNA from 1 species